GUGAGGAAUAUUGGACAAUGGGCGCAAGCCUGAUCCAGCCAUGCCGCGUGCAGGAAGACGCAUCUAUGGUGUGUAAACUGCUUUUGUACGGGAAGAAACACUCCCUCGUGAGGGAGCUUGACGGUACCGUAAGAAUAAGGAUCGGCUAACUCCGUGCCAGCAGCCGCGGUAAUACGGAGGAUCCAAGCGUUAUCCGGAAUCAGUGGGUUUAAAGGGUCCGUAGGCGGUUUAAUAAUUCAGUGGUGAAAGCCCAUCGCUCAACGAUGGAACGGCCAUUGAUACUGUUAGACUUGAAUUACAAGGAAGUAACUAGAAUAUGUAGUGUAGCGGUGAAAUGCUUAGAUAUUACAUGGAAUACCAAUUGCGAAGGCAGGUUACUACUUGUGGAUUGACGCUGAUGGACGAAAGCGUGGGGAGCGAACAGGAUUAGAUACCCCGGUAGUCC
rnacentral:rRNA from 1 species